GCCAGAGCCACGCUCAGAGAGAGAUUGUUAAGACACUGACACGUGAACAUCAACCAGAACCCAGCUGUGUGUCCUUUAAGAGCGACAGGUCAAUGUCUCCUCCUCCUGACUUUAAAUCUCCUGGACCUCCAUCUUCAGAGAGAGUGGACCAGCAGAACUCAGAGGUUCCCAGAGGUCCGUCUGCCCAGCAGCAUCUAACCCAGCUGGACUCCAUAUUUAUGCUGCUGGAGGACAACAUUGUCACUUUUGUGAAGAAGGAG